CUGGAAUACAGUGGUGCAAUCUUGGCUCACUGCAACCUCCACCUCCCAGGUUCAAGCGAUUCUCCUGCCUCAGCCUCCCGAGUACCUGGGACUACAGGCGCCCGCCACCACACCCGGCUAAUUUUUGUAUUUUUAGUAGAGAUGGGGUUUCACCAUGUUGGCCAGUCUGGUCUUGAACUCUUGACCUCGAGUGAUCUGCCCGCCUCAGCCUCCCGAAGUGCUGGGAUUACAGGCAUGAGACGCCACACCCGUCCAGUCAUCGAUUUUAAAGUUGUAAUGGCCAGUUUUAAGUCCAAAUCUAAAGGUGUCCAAUCCCAACAGCGGGCACAGAGGACCAGGUCUCCAAGGGGUGGAGAGAAGCGGGAUCAGAAGGUGUGUAUGAGGCCGGGCGCAGUGGCUCACGCCUAUAAUCCCAGCACUUUGGGAAGCUGAGGCAGGCAGAUCACUUGAGGUCAGGAGUUCGAGAUCAGCCUGACCGACAUGGUGAAACCCCGUCUCUACUAAAAAUACAAAAGUCAGCCGGGAAUGGUGGCACAUGCCUGUAAUCCCAGCUCCUCCAGAGGCUGAGGAAGGAGAAUCUGGGAGGCAGAGGUUUCAGUGAGCCAAGAUCGCACCACUGCACUCCAGUCUGGGCGACAGAGCGAGACUCUGCCUUAAAAAAAAAAAAAAA
rnacentral:lncRNA from 1 species